GGAUGAACGCUGGGCGGCGUGCCUAACACAUGCAAGUCGAACGAAGCACUUCGAUUUCUUCGGAAUGAAAAAGUGACUGAGUGGCGGACGGGUGAGUAACGCGUGGGUAACCUGCCUCAUACAGGGGGAUAACAGUUAGAAAUGGCUGCUAAUACCGCAUAAGCGCACAGUACCGCAUGGUACCGUGUGAAGAACUCCGGUGGUAUGAGAUGGACCCGCGUCUGAUUAGCUGGUUGGCGGGGUAACGGCCCACCAAGGCGACGAUCAGUAGCCGACCUGAGAGGGUGACCGGCCACAUUGGGACUGAGACACGGCCCAA
rnacentral:rRNA from 1 species